rnacentral:tRNA from 1 species
GGCAACAUGGCCGAGUGGCUAGGCAGAGGUCUGCAAAACCUCGUACACCGGUUCGAAUCCGGUUGUUGCCU